AUCAAGGUCACUGAUGAAGAUGUUGAACAAGACUGGACCCAGCACCUUUCCCUGAGGAACACCACUAAAUACAGGCCUACAGCUGGACUCUGUGCCACCCAUCACAACCCUCUGACCUCUGCCCAUCAGCCAGUUCACAACCCAUCUCAUUAUCCACUCGUCUACCCUACACUUCCUCAGCUUCAUUAUAAGGACGUUGUGGGAGACCGUAUCAAAUGCCUUGCUGAAAUCAAGGUACACUACAUCCACUGCUCUCCCCCCAUUCAUCCACCCAGCCUGCGAUGACCUCAUAGUAGGCUACCAGGUUGGUAACCUUCUAUGUUGAAGAAGUCAUAAAGUUGAAGUCAUAAUGUGUUUUAAACAGCUACCUUCAAUCAAAGACAGGGAGUGACACCAUGGAGUACUACAUUUCCUAGAAAAAGGAGGAGGAGAAGCAGUAUGAAUUUGGAUUCAAUAUUAGUCUUCAACAAGUAUUUGUAUCACAAAGCAAAAUACAACAACCUUCCGCCCAUCUUCCAGACAAUUCUACCCAUAUUUAACUUUCAUAUUUGACAAGAAGAAUCAAAACUGAAUGCCUGGAGCUUAGAACCAGCUAAAUCCCAUGGUGCUUUUACAGUUUGCAUCAGUUCAGGAGGUAUUCCAGCAACAUGGAGGUCUGAAAUGUCAAACAAGCCCUUUCAGCAAUUAUUUUGAAAAGGAAAGGGGAAAGGGGAAAGGGGAAAGAGAAAAGGGGAAAGAGACCUAAAGUGUUUUUCCAAAUCACAUUGAAAAAAAGAAAUGAAGAGCAUACAAAGCAACAGAGAAGACUUAUCCUAAGUGAGAAAUUAAUUACCUUGCUUUUUUCUUAAGCAGCAUUCUGGUUUCAAUGUCUUCUGUAUCAGCUUGCAGUGCAGUGCAAUGAAAGUACUUCUGCAUAGUGAAACACUGGUGCUGCGGAUGUGAUAUUCAUAUUAUGCAGCAGCAAAUGUGUUUGGAUCCAGCUAUAGCUAGACUAUUUACUGUAACUGAAAGGAGAGAACACUCAGCUAACAGAAAUGGACAGAAAUCUUACUAAGGAUCUUCCUCAGCUUAUAUAAUAGCAAAGUAUUGUCAAAGGCAUCUUGUUUGCGCUUCAUGCCAGCGUAUAGGGAACAGAAGAAGCAGGCAAACUAUUCAUCACCUCCUCAGAAGACCAUAACCCCAAAGGCAGUGGAAUGGA